CUGGCGGCGUGCCUAAUACAUGCAAGUCGAACGGUCUUUCUAUGGAAGCUUGCUUCCACUGAGAAGAUAGUGGCGAACGGGUGAGUAACACGUGGGUAACCUGCCCAUAAGAGGGGGGAUAACAUCCGGAAACGGGUGCUAAUACCGCAUAGUUUUCUUGAUCGCAUGAUUGAGAAAGGAAAGACGGCCUUUGUGCUGUCGCUUACGGAUGGACCCGCGGCGUAUUAGUUAGUUGGUGAGGUAACGGCUCACCAAGACGAUGAUACGUAGCCGACCUGAGAGGGUGAUCGGCCACAUUGGGACUGAGACACGGCCCAAACUCCUACGGGAGGCAGCAGUAGGGAAUCUUCCGCAAUGGACGAAAGUCUGACGGAGCAACGCCGCGUGAGUGAAAGAAGGUUUUCGGAUCGUAAAACUCUGUUGUCAGAGAAGAACAAGUUGGAGAGUAACUGCUCCAGCCUUGACGGUAUCUGACCAGAAAGCCACGGCUAACUACGUGCCAGCCGCCGC
rnacentral:rRNA from 1 species